rnacentral:piRNA from 1 species
UGCAAGUGCUUCGGCCCCUGGGUCUCUUU